GUCGAGCGGUAGAGAGAAGCUUGCUUCUCUUGAGAGCGGCGGACGGGUGAGUAAUGCCUAGGAAUCUGCCUGGUAGUGGGGGAUAACGCUCGGAAACGGACGCUAAUACCGCAUACGUCCUACGGGAGAAAGCAGGGGACCUUCGGGCCUUGCGCUAUCAGAUGAGCCUAGGUCGGAUUAGCUAGUUGGUGAGGUAAUGGCUCACCAAGGCGACGAUCCGUAACUGGUCUGAGAGGAUGAUCAGUCACACUGGAACUGAGACACGGUCCAGACUCCUACGGGAGGCAGCAGUGGGGAAUAUUGGACAAUGGGCGAAAGCCUGAUCCAGCCAUGCCGCGUGUGUGAAGAAGGUCUUCGGAUUGUAAAGCACUUUAAGUUGGGAGGAAGGGCAGUUACCUAAUACGUAUCUGUUUUGACGUUACCGACAGAAUAAGCACCGGCUAACUCUGUGCCAGCAGCCGCGGUAAUACAGAGGGUGCAAGCGUUAAUCGGAAUUACUGGGCGUAAAGCGCGCGUAGGUGGUUUGUUAAGUUGGAUGUGAAAUCCCCGGGCUCAACCUGGGAACUGCAUUCAAAACUGACAAGCUAGAGUAUGGUAGAGGGUGGUGGAAUUUCCUGUGUAGCGGUGAAAUGCGUAGAUAUAGGAAGGAACACCAGUGGCGAAGGCGACCACCUGGACUGAUACUGACACUGAGGUGCG
rnacentral:rRNA from 1 species